rnacentral:tRNA from 1 species
GCCCUCUUAGCUCAGGGGAUAGAGCGUCUGCCUCCGGAGCAGAAGGUCGUAGGUUCGAAUCCUACAGAGGGCACCA